AUGAUCGAUUGGUGACUGAGUGGCGGACGGGUGAGUAACGCGUGGGUAACCUGCCCUGUACAGGGGGAUAACAGCUGGAAACGGCUGCUAAUACCGCAUAAGCGCACGAGGAGACAUCUCCUAGUGUGAAAAACUCCGGUGGUACAGGAUGGGCCCGCGUCUGAUUAGCUGGUUGGCAGGGUAACGGCCUACCAAGGCAACGAUCAGUAGCCGGUCUGAGAGGAUGAACGGCCACAUUGGAACUGAGACACGGUCCAAACUCCUACGGGAGGCAGCAGUGGGGAAUAUUGCACAAUGGGGGAAACCCUGAUGCAGCAACGCCGCGUGAGUGAAGAAGUAUUUCGGUAUGUAAAGCUCUAUCAGCAGGGAAGAUAAUGACGGUACCUGACUAAGAAGCUCCGGCUAAAUACGUGCCAGCAGCCGCGGUAAUACGUAUGGAGCAAGCGUUAUCCGGAUUUACUGGGUGUAAAGGGUGCGUAGGUGGCAGUGCAAGUCAGAUGUGAAAGGCCGGGGCUCAACCCCGGAGCUGCAUUUGAAACUGCUCGGCUAGAGUACAGGAGAGGCAGGCGGAAUUCCUAGUGUAGCGGUGAAAUGCGUAGAUAUUAGGAGGAACACCAGUGGCGAAGGCGGCCUGCUGGACU
rnacentral:rRNA from 1 species